CUUUUACGUCGGCCUUCGCGAGCGUCUGGGCGGGUGGUAGGUGAGUGGGUAUUGCGGGCUAGUAUCCGAGCAAAAGAUGGUGGCGCAGGCCGAGUUAAGAGCUUUAAUCCUGUGAAGACAUCUUAGUGAAGAGUUUAGAGUGCUGAGAGUUGAAAGCUUGCACGUGGGAAACGUGCGGCCGGACUGCCACAUGUACUGAGGUUGAGUCGUGACGGCCACAGGCUCCGAGUUUUGGCGUGAGGAACCGCUGAUCGGCCACGGGCGCCGAACUUGCUGGCCUCCGGCAUGUGCCUGAGCGGCGGCGGAAAAACCACCUUAAUUGGGGCGGAGGGUUAGUUUUAACAGCAAAGGGCCUUUACUAAAAUGGCGAAGGCCUUCCGUCGGCGUUGUUUUAAAAUGGGAAGCCUCGACCCUGUAUUGAAACUGAGCUGUUCGAAGGCGGCGUUGUGUGCAAUUCGGAUUAAUGAAGGGGAAGGGUUUUGUGUGGAAAAACGCCUUGGAGUGUGACAUUUCUGCGAGAAUGCUUAAAUACCGAUUUCCCGCAGGAACAAUGGCGCUGUCUUCAGUGGCACAGUGGAGCAGCUCUGAAGAUGCAAAGAUACACGAAAAAACUUCCAGAACAUCUGGGAGAAUAUUUAAUGGAAAAUCGCUUGGUUAAAACCUGACACUUUUAACAGUGAGGGUCGCUGUCUGCCCAUUGAUAGAGGCCAGAUUGUCUUGGAAGUUCCAAAGUUGCAACGAUUUCUGGCUAGUGCCACGAGGUUUACUUGACUGUUGUGUGAAAAGCUGAUAAGAAAACCAUCCAGAAAAAAGCUCUUCGUUUUACAAACAUGAAAAUAAAACAUGUAAUUUUG
rnacentral:lncRNA from 1 species